AUGAACGCUGGCGGCGUGCCUAAUACAUGCAAGUCGAGCGAACAGAUGAGGAGCUUGCUCCUCUGACGUUAGCGGCGGACGGGUGAGUAACACGUUGAUAACCUACCUAUAAGACUGGGAUAACUUCGGGAAACCGGAUCUAAUACCGGAUAAUAUAUUGAACCGCAUGGUUCAAUAGUGAAAGACGGUUUUGCUGUCACUUAUAGAUGGAUCCGCGCCGCAUUAGCUAGUUGGUAAGGUAACGGCUUACCAAGGCAACGAUGCGUAGCCGACCUGAGAGGGUGAUCGGCCACACUGGAACUGAGACACGGUCCAGACUCCUACGGGAGGCAGCAGUAGGGAAUCUUCCGCAAUGGGCGAAAGCCUGACGGAGCAACGCCGCGUGAGUGAUGAAGGUCUUCGGAUCGUAAAACUCUGUUAUUAGGGAAGAACAAAUGUGUAAGUAACUAUGCACGUCUUGACGGUACCUAAUCAGAAAGCCACGGCUAACUACGUG
rnacentral:rRNA from 1 species